GUCCUGGGCAAGCAGUCUUCCUCCCUGCUGCCCACUGGAUAUCCGAGUGGGCUCGUAGCUCCCUGUUCGAACCUCCACCCCCUAUGGCCCCUCAUAGGUCCUACCCUCCUGUUCUCAAGGGCUUUUUCUUUCCAUUUUGUCCUGCAGGAAGGGGAGGAAGUGAAGAUCUUCAGACUAAGAUGGAUGAAGCUGAAUUCAGAUCUCAGCUCCAAGUGAAUGAGCAAACAGCACAGAAAAAGAAAAAGCAGUAUAUGUGGAAGAAAGCAAGAAAAAUCAACUGGCCUGGAACCUAAGACUUGUCCAAAGAUGUCACAGAGAGUAAAACGAGAAAAAUCCAGUAGCCCGUGCCCAGAGCAGUUCCUCGUACCCAGCUCCGGGGAGGAAACAGACCCCCAUUGUCCCCCUGGGCCUGGCAGCACAAAGGGAGCCUGUGUCAUGGCAGCAGAUGUAUGUGGCUGACUGUGGUGGACACCGGCCUAGGAGAAGCAUACAGCCUGGGGACCCUGUCUGCUUCAUGUCCCUCCAAGUGGGACCUGUGGGCUGGUUCUCUGUGCCUGAGGGACGGCAUGUACGUGGGGGCCACUGGCUAUCUCCGACGGUGCACACCGUGUGUUCACACCAGGAGGUCUGAGUGCAGUUCAGGACAUGCCCCAAGAGCUGAGCUGCGACACACUGGCUCCCCCUUUUCCUUCCUGUAAGCUUUCUGACCGUAAGCUAUCUGAGGCUUCGCCAGAAGCUGAACAGAUGCUGGUGCCAUGCCUGUACAGCCUGCAGAACUGUGAGCCAAAUAAACCUCUUUUCUUGAUAAAUUACACAGCCUCAGGUAUUCCUUUAUAGCAACACAAAUGGACUAAUACAGUGACCUUAUAAAAGAGGUUGAAGGGAGCACCUUCGUCCCUUUCUUUUGCCCUUCCACUGUCUGAGGACACAGCAAGAAGGUGCCAUCUUAAGAGUAGCAGAAGGCUAACAAGCCCUGAGAUGAACGAUGCUCUUCCCAAGGAAGGCAGAGGAGGCGACAGUCCAUUUGAGUUCUCUCCUCUGCAAGCACAGGAUCUCAUUUGAUUCUCAAAACCACCCUAGAGGAGAUAGGAGGCAUCUGAGGCCCAGAGACGUGAAGCCACCUGUCCAAGGCCAUACAGCAAUGACUUAUUCUGGAGGAAGACACCUGCCAUGCCGUGAGGACAUUCAAGCAGUUCUGUGGAGAGAUCCAUGUGGUGAGAAACAGGGGCCUCCUGUCAACAGGAAGAACAACCUGGCAGGCCUGUCUUGGAUUCAGAGCCUCCAGCCCCAAUUGAGCCUUCAGAUAACUGCACCCUCGGCUGUCAUCUCAACUGCAAUCUCACGACAGACCCUGAGCUGGAACUACUCUGUUUACCAAUGCCUGG
rnacentral:lncRNA from 1 species